UACGUAGGGGGCGAGCGUUGUCCGAAGUUACUGGGCGUAAAGCGCGCGUAGGCGGGUUGGCAAGUCUGCUGUGAAAGCCCGGGGCUUAACUCCGGAGGGUCGGUGGAUACUGCCAGUCUUGAAGGUGCUAGGGAGAGAUGGAAUUACCGGUGUAGCGGUGAAAUGCGUAGAUAUCGGUAGGAACACCAGUGGCGAAGGCGGUCUCUUGGGGCAUUCUUGACGCUGAGGCGCGAAAGCUGGGGGAGGGAACGGG
rnacentral:rRNA from 1 species